rnacentral:lncRNA from 1 species
CCCUCUUCCAAGACCGCCCGAACUACGGAGGUAAAUAAGCGUAUCCUUGCACCACCUCGUUUUAGUGGAAAAAAGGAUUCGCAAAUUACUAAUACGAAGACAUGGUUUGCGCUGCUUAUGCAAUACUUUGACUUGCCGCAAAUGGACCCGCUUGAGCACUUUAUGUUCUGGCUUACCGGCAAGGCUCAGGAGUGGGCCGCCGAUCUUUUCCUUAAGCACAAGUCCGGCGCACAACCACUCACCCGCGAUCUGUUGCGUGAUAAAUUCCUGUUACAAUAUGGGGAUGCGAAACGCGACACCGCGAUGGCCGCACGUGAUCGUUUGCACGCGCACGAAUACGAUAUGAAAAUAGACGAGUCCGUACCAGAGUACACGCAGCGCUUUUACGAUAUUGUUCGCGAAGCGAAUGAUAUGAGUGUUGCGGAUCAAAUCUCUUGGUACAUUAAGGGCCUAGUUCCUGCGCUGCGCAGACGAUGAGGGCAAGGACUGGCAGGAUUUAGAGAAACUCAUCAUGUAUGCUAGCGGUCAGGAAGUUCGGUGGAAAGCCGGAAAGGACAAAGCACAGCUUGCUGUGGUGACCAUGCAAGCCGGCCCGUCUAAGAUUACUUCCUCCGCUCGCCCUAAGAAUUCUCACCCUCGGUCCCCUCCUAAACAGGCCUGGGAUACGGUCCGUGCCAAGAAACAGAAGACGUCUACGUCUAGUAACUUUCUCAAGUGCCGGGUGUGCUCUCGUCUAAAGCCGGAACACCAGACUUGGGAGGAGCAUAAGAAGGACUGCCUUCGACACCUGCAGGAGCAGAUGGCUCGGCUGCAGGAGAAGACGUCCCGUUUUAACGCGAACAAGCAGAAGGAUUAGGACGCUGGCAAGCGCGAGGGGGUGUCUUGUAAGCAGGCCGUUGGUGCUGUAGCACGAGUAGACCAAGUCUCUCAAGACGAGCCUGACUUGACAACUAGGGACUUUGUUGUUCCGCCCGUUUGCGAUCCGUUGAUUUGUGAUCGGAUGUUCCUUCGUGAUGAAUUUCGAAGAGUUGAGAACGAACUUGGGCGUCAAUUUACGUUUGAUGCCGCUUGUAACGACUCGGG